GUUACUUUGUCGCGCCCCUCCGCCGACGAAAUAACCAACACAUGGCGGAAAACACGAACUGCCAGAUGUGCACAAGCCAACGAACAUGAAUAUACAGCUGCUGGCCGCGCAGCACCAACACCAUCCAACAAGAAGAAACAGCGAAGAGGCAGCAAAAAUAGCAGAGACAGUGGACAGUGGCGCAGCAGCGCGAAACAAGUGAGGUAAAACAAGUUUUCGAUGGAGAAAUGUAUGUCAAAACUAGAGUCAGUCGCUCUGAAAACGUCAUCGUGUUCGGACAAGGAAGCGCAUUUUUGACGGGUAGAAGAAUUUCAACGCGUUGCUGUGUUUUUUCGCUCUACACACACGUUCAAUUUAAGUUUGAUCUUAAUAAUUGAUUGCAAACAUUUGAGCGAAUGUGAGCUCUUGCAACUAGUUAAAGCAGCCGCGAGUGAAAUUAAAGAACGGGAGCAUAUUAAGUAACAUAAUCGUUGUACCAAAGUAAAGGUCUUAUUUUGAAGAGUGUGUACAAUUUAGGAAGUUGUAUGAAAUAAAUUUCUUAAAUAAUCGCAAAACUGUGAUUUAGUGAAGUGAUUAGUGAGUGAAUGUCGCUAAAGAAGAGCGAAUUAAAGAGCAAUAGAAAAAGCAUAACAACGAGCCUGAGAGCCGAGCAUCAGCCAAUUCGCAGCAGAAAAUAAACAAAACAAAGUGUAUGGAUAUUCAGAAAAAAGGCGAAAGUUCGAUUCUUGAAAAUAAUCACAAGGUAAAU